AUGAGUGUGGAGUACAAUAUGGAUGAAGCUUUGAAAGCACGAAAUACUGCAGAGAGCAAGUUUCAUGCGCGCGACCUCAGGGGCGCGCGCAAGUACGCGGUCAAGGCCCAGAAUCUCUGCCCAUCACUUGAGGGCAUAUCCCAGAUGGCGUCGACUCUUGAAGUUCAUCUUGCAGCGGAGUCCAAGAUUGAUGGAGAGAGUGACUGGUACCGGAUCUUGUCCCUGCCCGCCUUUGCAGAUGAAGAGGAUGUGAAGAAGCAGUACAGGAAGCUAGCUCUCCAGCUGCACCCUGAUAAGAACAAGUCAGUCGGUGCUGAGGAGGCCUUUAAACUGAUCUCUGAGGCGUGGAGUGUGUUGUCUGAUACUAGUCGGAAGACAAUUUAUGAUCAGAAGAGGUCAGAUCAUUCUGUUGUCAACGUAACCAAUGGCAUGUAUACGUAUGACAAGAAGGCGACCAAGAGAGCUCGAAAGAAUGCUGCUGCUGCCGCCGCCGCCGCCGCUGCUGCUGCGGCUGCUGCUGAGGCUACUGCUCGUCCUGCUGGUGUUGAUACUUUCUGGACAUCUUGCAAUCGCUGCCGUAUGCAGUAUGAGUACUUAAGAAUGUAUCUUAAUCAUAACCUUCUGUGCCCAAACUGCCAUCACGCGUUCAUGGCGGUAGAGACUGGAUUUCCUUGCAACGGAAGCAGUUCAUCUUUCUCCUGGUCAACCAAGCAGCAGCCACAGAACCACAGUUCCACCAAACAUUCAUAUGGCUCAACAAGCAGGACUUCUAGCAUUCCGGGGACAGGGCAUGUGGGGUAUCAGCAAGAUAGUACUUAUGAUUCCUACAACAGUCAAAGCUUUCAGUGGAAUCAGUACUCCAAGACAGCGCCUGCAGCUGACACAAAUGCUUACAGUACCCAGGCUUCCGAGAAACCUAGAAGAAAUGAAGAGAGCUACAGCUACAACUACCCUGAAAGUGGAAACACAUGUGACCCUGAGAGAACUACUUCAAGGCGUGGCCGGUUUGCAAAGCGGAGAAGGCAUAGUAAUGAUUAUACGACUGUGGAUUAUGCUGGAGAUAACAAAGAAACAGUGGUUGCAAGCACAGAGACAAAUGCUUUCACUGAUGUGGGGCGGGUUAAUGGCACUUCAGUGGAAAAGAUGAGAUCUGCAGUGAGUGUAAGGAGAGCUAAUGUUUUGAGAGAGAUCUCCCAGAUUGAUACACGGGGUCUACUUGUUGAGAAAGCCAAAGAAGCCGUCCGGGGAAAAUUGCAAGAGCUGAGCAUGGCAGCAUGUUCACGGUUUGCAGAGAAAAGGAAGUCAGAAGGAAAGGUAUAUCCUAGUGACAACAACAUAAAGGCAAAUGGGGUCCUCUCUGGCAAGCUUGGCAAAGGACUCAAGCUAUGCAGUUCAAUAAGUGUCGACACCCACAUACCUGCAGCUGCAACUGAUGAAAAAAAUCCAGAACAGAAGCGUGUGCCUGUUUCGAUUGAUGUCCCAGAUCCUGACUUCCAUGAUUUUGAUAAGGAUCGCACAGAGAGAGCUUUUUAUAGUGACCAAGUAUGGGCUACAUAUGACAGUGAGGAUGGAAUGCCUCGUCUGUAUGCAAUGGUGCAGAAAGUUCUUUCAAUGAGACCUUUCAGAAUCCGCAUGAGUUUCCUCAAUUCCAAAUCCAAUAUUGAACUGUCGCCAAUAAACUGGGUUGCCUCUGGUUUCCAGAAAACAUGUGGCGAUUUUAGGGUUGGAAGGUACCAGAUUACGGAAACAGUCAACAUAUUUUCGCACAAAGUCAGCUGGACUAAAGGCCCCCGUGGGAUUAUCAGAAUUAUUCCUCAGAAAGGUGAUACAUGGGCUUUGUACCGAGACUGGUCUCCUGAUUGGAACGAGCUUACACCUGAUGAUGUGAUAUAUAAAUACGAGAUUGUCGAAGUUAUUGAUGAUUUCACUGAGGAGCAAGGGCUGACUGUCAUUCCAUUAUUGAAGGUUGCUGGCUUCAAAGCUGUGUUCCAUAGGCACAUGGACCCCAAGGAGGUGAGGAGGAUACCAAAGGGUGAGCUGUUUCGAUUCUCGCAUCAGGUUCCUUCUCGACUGCUGACUGGUGAAGAAGGCAACAAUGCCCCGGAAGGUUGUCAUGAGCUCGAUCCUGCUGCAACCCCAGUGGACCUUCUUAAGGUUAUUACAGAGGUGAAUGAAGACGUGGUGGCGCAGACUGCUGAAUAG
rnacentral:rRNA from 1 species